rnacentral:rRNA from 1 species
GAUGAACGCUGGCGGCGUGCCUAAUACAUGCAAGUCGAGCGAACAGACGAGGAGCUUGCUCCUCUGAUGUUAGCGGCGGACGGGUGAGUAACACGUGGAUAACCUACCUAUAAGACUGGGAUAACUUCGGGAAACCGGAGCUAAUACCGGAUAACAUGUUGAACCGCAUGGUUCAACAGUGAAAGACGGUCUUGCUGUCACUUAUAGAUGGAUCCGCGCCGCAUUAGCUAGUUGGUAAGGUAACGGCUUAUCAAGGCAACGAUGCGUAGCCGACCUGAGAGGGUGAUCGGCCACACUGGAACUGAGACACGGUCCAGACUCCUACGGGAGGCAGCAGUAGGGAAUCUUCCGCAAUGGGCGAAAGCCUGACGGAGCAACGCCGCGUGAGUGAAGAAGGUCUUCGGAUCGUAAAACUCUGUUAUUAGGGAAGAACAAAUGUGUAAGUAACUAUGCACGUCUUGACGGUACCUAAUCAGAAAGCCACGGCUAACUACGUG